GCUCCAGUGGCCUAGUGGUUAGAGCAUCCACCUUGGAUGUGGGAGGUAAUGGGUUUGAACCCUGGCUGAGUCA